rnacentral:tRNA from 1 species
GAAAAGUAUUUAUAAAACUGAUCUUCUAAAUCAAAAAAUGCUGGUUCAAAUCCAACACUUUUCG